CCAGCAGCUGCGGUAAUUCCAGCUCCAAUAGCGUAUAUUAAAGUUGUUGCAGUUAAAACGCUCGUAGUCUGAUGUAAUGGGGACUGGAGUGGGGAGCAGCGAUGCUCUUUGCUUUGGUCCUCAUCAGGGGGACAGCAAUGUCCCAGUUUACCUUGAGGAAAUUAGAGUGUUUAAAGCAGGCUUAUGCUUGAAUACGUUUGCAUGGAAUAACAUGAUAGGACUUUGGUUCUAUUUUGUUGGUUUGAGGACCAAAGUAAUGAUUAAUAGGGACAGUUGGGGGCAUUAGUAUUCAAUAGUCAGAGGUGAAAUUCUUGGAUUUAUUGAAGACUAACUAAUGCGAAAGCAUUUGC
rnacentral:rRNA from 1 species